GACGAAGGUGGCGAGCGUUGUUCGGAAUCACUGGGCGUAAAGCGCACGUAGGCGGUGUCAUAAGUCGGGUGUGAAAUCCCUCGGCCUAACCGAGGAACUGCGCCCGAUACUGUGAUGCUUGAGGACCAGAGGGGUGCAUGGAAUUUCCGGUGGAGCGGUGAAAUGCGUUGAUAUCGGAAGGAACUCCGGCGGCGAAAGCGAUGCACUGGCUGGUUUCUGACGCUGAGGUGCGAAAGCCAGGGGAGCAAACGGG
rnacentral:rRNA from 1 species